UACGUAGGGGGCUAGCGUUGCUCGGAAUUACUGGGCGUAAAGGGCGCGUAGGCGGCACUGUUAGUCAGGCGUGAAAGUCCUGGGCUCAACCUGGGAACUGCGCUUGAUACGGCAGAGCUAGAGGAUGGAAGAGGCUCGCGGAAUUCCCAGUGUAGAGGUGAAAUUCGUAGAUAUUGGGAAGAACACCGGUGGCGAAGGCGGCGAGCUGGUCCAUUACUGACGCUGAGGCGCGACAGCGUGGGGAGCAAACAGG
rnacentral:rRNA from 1 species